CUUCGGCCUGGUUUAUUCAUAACCCUUUGUUGUCCGACUCUGUUGCCUCCGGGGCGACCCUGCCUUCGGGCGGGGGCUCCGGGUGGACACUUCAAACUCUUGCGUAACUUUGCAGUCUGAGUAAACUUAAUUAAUAAAUUAAAACUUUUAACAACGGAUCUCUUGGUUCUGGCAUCGAUGAAGAACGCAGCGAAAUGCGAUAAGUAAUGUGAAUUGCAGAAUUCAGUGAAUCAUCGAAUCUUUGAACGCACAUUGCGCCCCCUGGUAUUCCGGGGGGCAUGCCUGUUCGAGCGUCAUUUCACCACUCAAGCCUCGCUUGGUAUUGGGCAACGCGGUCCGCCGCGUGCCUCAAAUCGUCCGGCUGGGUCUUCUGUCCCCUAAGCGUUGUGGAAACUAUUCGCUAAAGGGUGUUCGGGAGGCUACGCCGUAAAACAACCCCAUUUCUAAGGUUGACCUCGGAUCACGUAGGGAUACCCGCUGAACUUAAGCAUAUCAAUAAUC
rnacentral:rRNA from 1 species